AGAGUUUGAUCCUGGCUCAGAAUGAACGCUGGCGGCGUGCUUAACACAUGCAAGUCGCACGAGAACGCUUCAGCUUGCUGGAGCUAGUAAAGUGGCGUACGGGUGAGUAACGCGUGGGUAAUCUAUCUCUGAAUUGGGGAUAACAUUGCGAAAGCGAUGCUAAUACCGGAUAAUAUCCAUUAAGCCUCGGUUUUUUUGGAUCAAAGGUGGCCUCUACAUGUAAGCUACUGUUCGGAGACGAGCCCGCGUACCAUUAGCUUGUUGGUAGGGUAAUGGCCUACCAAGGCAACGAUGGUUAGCUGGUCUGAGAGGAUGAUCAGCCACACUGGAACUGACACACGGUCCAGACUCCUACGGGAGGCAGCAGUGAGGAAUUUUGCGCAAUGGGGGAAACCCUGACGCAGCAACGCCGCGUGAGUGAUGAAGGCUUUCGGGUCGUAAAGCUCUGUCAAGUGGGAAGAACCCGUGCCGCACAAAUAGUGCGGUGCGCUGACGGUACCACUGAAGGAAGCACCGGCUAACUCCGUGCCAGCAGCCGCGGUAAUACGGGGGGUGCAAGCGUUAUUCGGAAUCAUUGGGCGUAAAGAGCGCGUAGGCGGUCUCCUAUGUCAGGUGUGAAAGCCCGGGGCUCAACCCCGGAAGUGCACUUGAAACUGGGAGACUUGAGUAUGGGAGAGGGAAGUGGAAUUCCUGGUGUAGCGGUGAAAUGCGUAGAUAUCAGGAGGAACACCGGUGGCGAAGGCGACUUCCUGGACCAAUACUGACGCUGAGGCGCGAAGGCGUGGGGAGCAAACAGGAUUAGAUACCCUGGUAGUCCUAGCCGUAAACGGUGAGCACUAGGUGUAGGAGGCAUCGACCCCUCCUGUGCCGCAGCUAACGCAUUAAGUGCUCCGCCUGGGGAGUACGACCGCAAGGUUGAAACUCAAAGGAAUUGACGGGGCCCCGCACAAGCGGUGGAGCAUGUGGUUUAAUUCGAUGCAACGCGAAGAACCUUACCCAGGUUUGACAUGCACCGGACAGGUGUGGAAACACACCCUCCCUUCGGGGUCGGUGUACAGGUGCUGCAUGGCUGUCGUCAGCUCGUGUCGUGAGAUGUUGGGUUAAGUCCCGCAACGAGCGCAACCCUUGUCCUUAGUUGCCAGCGGAUAAUGCCGCGCACUCUAGGGAGACUGCCGUCGACAAGACGGAGGAAGGUGGGGAUGACGUCAAGUCCUCAUGGUCCUUAUACCUGGGGCUACACACGUGCUACAAUGGUCGGUACAGAGGGUUGCAAUACCGCGAGGUGGAGCUAAUCCCAAAAAGCCGGCCUCAGUUCGGAUUGUAGUCUGCAACUCGACUGCAUGAAGGCGGAAUCGCUAGUAAUCGCUGAUCAGCAGGCAGCGGUGAAUAUGUUUCCGGGGCUUGUACACACCGCCCGUCAAGCCACGAAAGUCGGCAGUACCCGAAGUCGCUAUCCUAACCGUAAGGAGGGAAGCGCCUAAGGUAAGGCUGGCGAUUGGGGCUAAGUCGUAACAAGGUA
rnacentral:rRNA from 1 species